CUUUCACACCACUGGUAUUACUGUGCUUUACACAGAGCCUAAUGCCUGCUGCAGGGAUGUGGGUCAUUAUCUUCACUGAUUGCUUUUGCUAAACAGUCUCCUGUGUGUUUGCAGCUCCAGAGUCUGCUCUGAACGUGGGGUUUGUUGCUGGUGGUGUGCUGGCUGCUCUGGGUCUGAUCAUCGCAGUGAUCAUAGGAGUUCACAUCUGGAAGAAAAGAGCAUCAGGUGCCAGGAGCCCUGACUACACAGCAGCGCAGACAAAGGAACAAAGUGAUGCUUCAUCCAGCUCCACCAGCGACGACAGGUGUGACCCUAUUGCAGAGAAGCUGAUGACACAGAAAGAGAAUAUACAACUCA